rnacentral:rRNA from 2 species
AACGCCCGGACCCAUUCCGAACCCGGAAGCUAAGCCCUCCAGCGCCGAUGGUACUGCACCCGACAGGGUGUGGGAGAGUAGGACACCGCCGAAC